rnacentral:pre_miRNA from 1 species
AAAAAGACAAACCCUGGUUUCCGUGCCCAAUGUUUGACCGUCCGUCUUAUUUGAAAAAAAUAUAAAAAAAAUUAAAAAGACAAGUCACGCAUAAAAUAUUAAUCAUGUAUUAUCAUCUAACAACAAUGAAAAUACGAAUUAUAAAAAAAUUUCAUAUAAGACGGACAAUCAAAGUUGGACACGGAAACCCAGGGUUUGCCUUUUU